rnacentral:rRNA from 1 species
ACGAACGCUGGCGGCGUGCUUAACACAUGCAAGUCGAACGGAAAGGCCCUGCUUUUGUGGGGUGCUCGAGUGGCGAACGGGUGAGUAACACGUGAGUAACCUGCCCUUGACCUUGGGAUAACUUCAGGAAACUGGGGCUAAUACCGGAUAGGAGCUCCUGCCGCAUGGUGGGGGUUGGAAAGUUUCGGCGGUUGGGGAUGGACUCGCGGCUUAUCAGCUUGUUGGUGGGGUAGUGGCUUACCAAGGCUUUGACGGGUAGCCGGCCUGAGAGGGUGACCGGCCACAUUGGGACUGAGAUACGGCCCAGACUCCUACGGGAGGCAGCAGUGGGGAAUAUUGCACAAUGGGCGGAAGCCUGAUGCAGCAACGCCGCGUGCGGGAUGACGGCCUUCGGGUUGUAAACCGCUUUCGCCUGUGACGAAGCGUGAGUGACGGUAAUGGGUAAAGAAGCACCGGCUAACUACGUG